rnacentral:rRNA from 1 species
AGAGUUUGAUCCUGGCUCAGGAUGAACGCUAGCUACAGGCUUAACACAUGCAAGUCGAGGGGCAGCAUGGUCUUAGCUUGCUAAGGCUGAUGGCGACCGGCGCACGGGUGAGUAACACGUAUCCAACCUGCCGUCUACUCUUGGACAGCCUUCUGAAAGGAAGAUUAAUACAAGAUGGCAUCAUGAGUCCGCAUGUUCACAUGAUUAAAGGUAUUCCGGUAGACGAUGGGGAUGCGUUCCAUUAGAUAGUAGGCGGGGUAACGGCCCACCUAGUCUUCGAUGGAUAGGGGUUCUGAGAGGAAGGUCCCCCACAUUGGAACUGAGACACGGUCCAAACUCCUACGGGAGGCAGCAGUGAGGAAUAUUGGUCAAUGGGCGCGAGCCUGAACCAGCCAAGUCGCGUGAGGGAUGAAGGUUCUAUGGAUCGUAAACCUCUUUUAUAAGGGAAUAAAGUGCGGGACGUGUCCCGUUUUGUAUGUACCUUAUGAAUAAGGAUCGGCUAACUCCGUGCCAGCAGCCGCGGUAAUACGGAGGAUCCGAGCGUUAUCCGGAUUUAUUGGGUUUAAAGGGAGCGUAGGCGGACGCUUAAGUCAGUUGUGAAAGUUUGCGGCUCAACCGUAAAAUUGCAGUUGAUACUGGGUGUCUUGAGUACAGUAGAGGCAGGCGGAAUUCGUGGUGUAGCGGUGAAAUGCUUAGAUAUCACGAAGAACUCCGAUUGCGAAGGCAGCCUGCUGGACUGUAACUGACGCUGAUGCUCGAAAGUGUGGGUAUCAAACAGGAUUAGAUACCCUGGUAGUCCACACAGUAAACGAUGAAUACUCGCUGUUUGCGAUAUACAGUAAGCGGCCAAGCGAAAGCGUUAAGUAUUCCACCUGGGGAGUACGCCGGCAACGGUGAAACUCAAAGGAAUUGACGGGGGCCCGCACAAGCGGAGGAACAUGUGGUUUAA